rnacentral:rRNA from 1 species
GACGAACGCUGGCGGCGCGCCUAACACAUGCAAGUCGAACGGAGUCAAGAGGAGCUUGCUUUUCUUGAGUUAGUGGCGAACGGGUGAGUAACGCGUGAGUAACCUGCCCUGGAGUGGGGGACAACAGUUGGAAACGACUGCUAAUACCGCAUAAGCCCACGGAUCUGCAUGGAUCUGCGGGAAAAGGAUUUAUUCGCUCUAGGAUGGACUCGCGUCCAAUUAGCUAGUUGGUGAGGUAACGGCCCACCAAGGCGACGAUUGGUAGCCGGACUGAGAGGUUGAACGGCCACAUUGGGACUGAGACACGGCCCAGACUCCUACGGGAGGCAGCAGUGGGGGAUAUUGCACAAUGGGGGAAACCCUGAUGCAGCGACGCCGCGUGGAGGAAGAAGGUUUUCGGAUUGUAAACUCCUGUCGUUAGGGACGAUAAUGACGGUACCUAACAAGAAAGCACCAGCUAACUACGUG